UACGGAGGGUGCAAGCGUUAUCCGGAAUCACUGGGUUUAAAGGGUGCGUAGGCGGCUAUGUAAGUCAGUUGUGAAAUACCUCGGCUUAACCGAAGGAAGUGCGAUUGAUACUGCGUAGCUUGAAUCAGGUUGAGGUAGGCGGAAUGUGACAUGUAGCGGUGAAAUGCUUAGAUAUGUCAUAGAACACCGAUUGCGAAGGCAGCUUACUGGGCUUUGAUUGACGCUGAGGCACGAAAGCGUGGGGAGCAAACAGG
rnacentral:rRNA from 2 species